rnacentral:rRNA from 1 species
AGAUUGAACGCUAGCGGGAUGCUUUACACAUGCAAGUCGAACGGCAGCGCGGACUUCGGUCUGGCGGCGAGUGGCGAACGGGUGAGUAAUAUAUCGGAACGUGCCCAGUAGCGGGGGAUAACUACGCGAAAGCGUGGCUAAUACCGCAUACGCCCUACGGGGGAAAGGGGGGAUUCUUCGGAACCUCUCACUAUUGGAGCGGCCGAUAUCAGAUUAGCUAGUUGGUGAGGUAAUGGCUCGGGACCAAGGCGACGAUCCGUAACUGGUCUGAGAGGAUGAUCAGUCACACUGGAACUGAGACACGGUCCAGACUCCUAGGGAGCAGCAGUGGGAAUAUUGGACAAGUGGGACGAAAGCCUGAUCCAGCCAUGCCGCGUGUGUGAAGAAGGUCUUCGGAUUGUAAAGCUAACGUUUAAGGUUGGAAGGAAGGCAGUUACCUAAUACGUAUCUGUUUGACGUUACGACAGAAUAAGCACCGCUAAC